GUGCCUUCGGGAACUGUGAGACAGGUGCUGCAUGGCUGUCGUCAGCUCGUGUUGUGAAAUGUUGGGUUAAGUCCCGCAACGAGCGCAACCCUUAUCCUUUGUUGCCAGCGAUUAGGUCGGGAACUCAAAGGAGACUGCCAGUGAUAAACUGGAGGAAGGUGGGGAUGACGUCAAGUCAUCAUGGCCCUUACGACCAGGGCUACACACGUGCUACAAUGGCGCAUACAAAGAGAAGCGACCUCGCGAGAGCAAGCGGACCUCAUAAAGUGCGUCGUAGUCCGGAUUGGAGUCUGCAACUCGACUCCAUGAAGUCGGAAUCGCUAGUAAUCGUGGAUCAGAAUGCCACGGUGAAUACGUUCCCGGGCCUUGUACACACCGCCCGUCACACCAUGGGAGUGGGUUGCAAAAGAAGUAGGUAGCUUAACCUUCGGGAGGGCGCUUACCACUUUGUGAUUCAUGACUGGGGUGAAGUCGUAACAAGGUAACCGUAGGGGAACCUGCGGUUGGAUCACCUCCUUACCU
rnacentral:rRNA from 1 species